UACAGAGGUCUCAAGCGUUGUUCGGAUUCAUUGGGCGUAAAGGGUGCGUAGGCGGCGCGGUAAGUCGGUGGUGAAAUCUCGGGGCUUAACUCCGAAACUGCAUUCGAUACUGCCGUGCUUGAGGACUGGAGAGGAGACUGGAAUUUACGGUGUAGCGGUGAAAUGCGUAGAUAUCGUAAGGAAGACCAGUGGCGAAGGCGGGUCUCUGGACAGUUCCUGACGCUGAGGCACGAAGGCCAGGGGAGCAAACGGG
rnacentral:rRNA from 1 species